ensembl:lncRNA
CAAAGUGAAUACAGUCUCAAUGGAGGCCCCAUGAUUUGAUGACAAUGAAAUUGUCAAGCUGAGCAGGUCAUUCACUAGUUUCCUAAAUUUGUUCUUAAUUGACACAUAACAGGACUAUUGGGUCUAUUUUAUUCUUAACGAACUGAUAUGUGUGCACCAGAGUCAGGGCUUCAAACAGUAAUCCUGCUAUGGGACAUCUCGGGUGUGAAUUUCCGUCCUCCAACUUUGGGCCUGGUUAAUGCCAGGGGAAAGAAGAUGUCAUUUGCUUUCCCGCAGCAAAUGACACAUUAUGUCCAAGAGGCUGUGUUGUUUCUUUUACUAUAGCUACUUAACUCUGCUUCAUAUAUCAUUUGCAUGUAGCUACUUUGUAGAGGAAGAAGUAACCUAGUUUAAGAUAACAUGCAUAGCAUUUUAUUGAACUUUUUAGUAAGCAUUACUCUUGACCGCUUAGGUUUCAGUUGCUCCUCAAGGAAGAUUCUUGGUGACUGUGGAGUUUUCAGGGUUCUUACUUUGGUGGCCUGAAUGGCACUGUCAUGGAGCUGAUUGUUUCAAAAUUUUUUUAAGUUUGAGAUGAAAUCACACCAAGUUUCCACACUGGCAAACACAGGGUCUAUCCAGGUGGACAGGGAGUUGAUUUUGCUCACCACAAUAUAACCAUGUCCUUUCCAAUACAAGAUUUCUUGAAGUCCUUUUCUGACAUCAAAUAUAAGAUACUGGUAGCAGUCUGGGAAAAUUCAAGAACAAAACAUAUCAAAAAGGAGGAAUGUCCAGAACAGUUCUUGGAAUAUUAAGUGUGCUGCUUUGCCCACUGCUUCCUGUUGGAGAUUGAAGCACCCAUGCACUUUGAAGCACAUUUGUGUUUCAGAAACACAUUCUGGUGUCCUAAAUACGCAAUAAUUUCAGAUAUUUCCUAUAAGGAAGUCACAGUACCUAUCUAAUAAGAAAAUAUCCUGUUCCCCAUUGAUGCAUACACUGGUCGGAUGACUUUGGAUGUGGUGUCUACUGAGUCUGCACAUAUUUGGAAGGAUUAUUCCUCUGGUGCACACUGGAAAUGGCUUCUGGGGCAUUGUGCUCUAACUUCUUUUUUUCUUUCCUCGUACCAGGAAUUGAACCCUGGUCCUUGAGCUUGCUGGAUAGGUGGUGAAACCGCUGAGCUAAAUCUCUGGCCCAUGCUAACUUCUACAAAUGGGCUUGGUAGUUAUUUUCCAAACAUGGAUGUGAAAAAAAAGGGGAGGUCCACUAGGGAAGACGAAGAUAGAUG